rnacentral:rRNA from 1 species
CAGCAGUGGGGAAUCUUGCGCAAUGGGCGAAAGCCUGACGCGGCAACGCCGCGUGGGGGAUGAAGGCUCUCGGGUCGUAAACCCCUUUCAGCAGGGACGAAUCUGACGGUACCUGCAGAAGAAGCUCCGGCCAACUACGUGCCAGCAGCCGCGGUAACACGUAGGGAGCAAGCGUUGUCCGGAUUUAUUGGGCGUAAAGAGCUCGUAGGCGGCUCAGCAAGUCGGGUGUGAAAACUCCGGGCUCAACCCGGAGACGCCACCUGAUACUGCUGUGGCUAGAGUCUGGUAGGGGAGUGUGGAAUUCCCGGUGUAGCGGUGAAAUGCGCAGAUAUCGGGAGGAACACCAGUGGCGAAGGCGGCACUCUGGGCCAGUACUGACGCUGAGGAGCGAAAGCGUGGGUAGCAAACAGGAUUAGAUACCCUGGUAGUCCACGCCGUAAACGUUGGGCACUAGGUGUGGGGGCGUACCAAACGCUUCUGUGCCGUAGCUAACGCAUUAAGUGCCCCGCCUGGGGAGUACGGCCGCAAGGCUAAAACUCAAAGGAAUUGACGGGGGCCCGCACAAGCGGCGGAGCAUGUUGCUUAAUUCGAGGCAACGCGAAGAACCUUACYUGGGUUGAACUACGCGGGAAAAGCCGUAGAGAUACGGUGUCCGCAAGGGCCUGCGAUAGGUGGUGCAUGGCUGUCGUCAGCUCGUGUCGUGAGAUGUUGGGUUAAGUCCCGCAACGAGCGCAACCCUUAUCCUAUGUUGCCAGCGGAUCAUGCCGGGGACUCGUAGGAGACUGCCGGGGUCAACUCGGAGGAAGGUGGGGACGACGUCAAGUCAUCAUGCCCCUUAUGUCCAGGGCUGCAAACAUGCUACAAUGGCCGGUACAAAGGGCUGCUAUCCCGCGAGGGUGAGCGAAUCCCAUAAAACCGGUCUCAGUUCGGAUCGUAGUCUGCAACUCGACUGCGUGAAGCCGGAGUCGCUAGUAAUCCCGGAUCAGCUACGCCGGGGUGAAUACGUUCCCGGGCC